GACGAACGCUGGCGGCGUGCCUAACACAUGCAAGUCAAAGGGAAGCAACUUCGGUUGUAAGUACUUGGCGCAAGGGUGAGUAAUGUAUAGGUAAUCUGCCCUUUGGACUGGGAUAACCCCGAGAAAUCGGGGACAAUACCAGAUGAUGCAGCGGCACCGCAUGGUGAUGUUGUUAAAGUUUAAGUAAUGCCUAUAGAUGAGCUUGCGCCUGAUUAGCUAGUUGGUAGGGUAAAGGCCUACCAAGGCUACGAUCAGUAGCUGGUCUGAGAGGAUGAUCAGCCACACUGGAACUGAGACACGGUCCAGACUCCUACGGGAGGCAG
rnacentral:rRNA from 1 species